UACAUGCUCCGUAUCCGAUGCGGAUCAAGUAAAAUCUACCCCAUUAGGGUUAGGUUGGGUCGGGUACUUGAUGAGGCGUACCAAAAUAGGGAGGGGGAGGGGGAGAGAGAGAGAAAGAGAGAGAGAGAGUGGAGAGGGGNNNNNNNNNNNNNNNNNNNNAGAGAGAGAGAGAGAGAGAANANANANAGAGAGAGAGAGAUGGAGAGGGAGGGAGAGAAAAUCCUAACCCUAACCCUAGGAGGUCGGAAAGAAGGGGAGAAAGAGGGAUACGUUUUCUAACAUAAUAAUGACGUACCUAAACACCAAAAUCUAAGGCCCGGAGGUUGGAACCCCAUUCAGGUAGGUAAGGUUUUCAAGAUUAGCUUCCAGGUCAAUGGGUCAGUCUAGAACAGAAAAAAUUAUCAAUGAUGAAUAGAUGCUACACUAGCUAAGCAGCUCAGAAAAAUGGUGCGCGAAGGUGCAAUUGAGCGAUCGUCUUGAGCUGAACUUGACAUCAUGUAUAAUUUUCAUCCUGAGCUCAGCGAAUGGAUAUACCCCAGAAGUUAAAGACUUCCUUACCUUCCCACCUGUAUUCCUUGCCUGUUCUAGCAUCUCUUAGCGUUAAUCCACUUGAGAGGGUUGCCUCCGUGGUUUAAGGAGAGUGGCGACCAUGUGGGGAGGGGGGUAGGUUUCGGUUCUUUGCGGCAAGGGGCUUUCUGGAAAUGGAAGGCGACCAGAAGGGGGAGGAUUCCGAUGGGGUGGGGCUAUGGUCAACGUUCUCCUUGGAGAUUCACAACAGCUGGUGCUUAUAAGGAUUGAGUGAGGGUUUUGAAGGGUGGAACCCUUGCACUCCUUUGGUGCGAGAGGACCUUCAUCAAGAGAUGGAGACGUAGUGUGCUGACGAGAGGCAAAGAUCAGAACAAUAGACGAGGGGAGAGGAGAGAGAUAGAGAUGGUGGGAGAGGGAGAGAGAUUGCAAAAUCUGGACCACAAGAGGAAAUCGUGGUUUUACUAAGGCCCAAACCAUCCAGACCGCCCAAACUGUUUCGAUUCUUGACCGGUUCGGUUUACUACGGCCCAAACUGCCCGAUUCGAGAUAGUUCGGACAACCAUACUUAGAACAUUAGGCUCUAAAGAGAUUUAAAGGAUUUUUUUAUAAAAGGUUCGACUAUGCUAGAGCUUGUAACUCAUAGCCACUUCUAUUUCAUUUCUUAUAUAGCCAUCAAUUGGGAAAUGACAUAUUAUACCCUAGACAUGUCCAAAAUUGUAUUUUUCAGGAAAAAAUUGUCUGUCAUAGUGUUAAACCCUCAAUAUGAGAAAUCCAAAGGUCCGGACGAUAUAAUAUAUUUUAAAUGUUAUUGUUUACGUAUUUUGUUUCUUUAUCAAUUUUUCCUAGUUGUAAUUGCCUCUUUAGAUUUUUAGAUAAAAUGGUCAAAAUUGGAGCCAGAACUUAAAUAGCAACCAAAUCCACUAAAGUUGCUGAAAGCAAAACUCAUUUGAUCUAAAGGAGAACAAAACUAAAACUAACUUUGCCAACCUUGCUGAAAAUAUAAACCAUCUAAGCUCGAAAAUAUGCUCUGAACAAGGAAGCCACCUUUUAAGUUGGUUAAUAAGACCCAUAUGGAUGUGAUUAUGUAUAUAAGCAUACAUUAUAUAUUGUGAUGCAUACAUGCAGAGGCAUACAAUAUGGAUAAUGUGUCGAAUAUUCAUAGGUACAUAGAUAUAUAUACAUAUGUUAGUAUCUAUCCAUCUUCCUAUGUUUAGUAUGAUGUAUGUGUCUACCUUUAAUUUUAUAUAUUUACAUAUAUAGAAAGAUGGUGUAUACAUACACAAACAGAUGGAGAUAUGCAUACAAAAAUACAUCAAUACCGAUACAUAACAUAUAUAUACAUAUACAUAAAAUAAAAUACAUAUAAUGAUAUAAACUGCUAGAAUUAUGUGUGCAGAAACCCUAUUAUUACUUAAAGUGCAUUCCUAAUUGGAAUUUGGCCAAUAAUUCUUGCCCUGUAAUGAAUGCAAUUUCCACUACUGAUCCUUGCCUUCUUUCAUUUUCUAGAUUCUUUCCAAGUCUAGGAGACCUGGAAGGUUUUUUCUCUUGAUCAUAUCAUCCCAAACUUCACAAUGGCAAGAUGAAUAUCCACACCCACCUAAAGGGACCUUAUAUUUUGUGGCAGGUUCGUCACUUUUCAAAGGAUGACCUAGUAAAAGUUUAGCACCUUUCUUUCUGUUUGAAAGCUAGUUGUGAAACUUUUCUCAAUCUCAAAGGUCUUGUUUAAGGUUAAACAUUAAGGGCAUGUUUGGUUGGGGAAAGUUGAACUCUAGAACGAAAAUGGAAAUGAGCGACUCCCAUUUGAACUAUUUGGUUGAGGAGAGUCCCAUCCCAUUUUGAUUCCAGGAGGAAAUGAGAAUGCUCCAAUCCUCCAAAACUCAAUCCCUACUCUUUCCUAGUAUUCAAAUUCAAUUCCGAUUCUGAUUCUGGACACAAACCAAACACGUUAGAACAAGAUCCACCGUACCGACAUAGCGGUGGGCGUCAGUACCGGUAUAGUACCGAACCGAACCG
rnacentral:lncRNA from 1 species